GAAAUGCGAUAAGUAAUGUGAAUUGCAGAAUUCAGUGAAUCAUCGAAUCUUUGAACGCACAUUGCGCCCGCCAGUAUUCUGGCGGGCAUGCCUGUUCGAGCGUCAUUUCAACCAUCAAGCCCCCGGCUUGUGUUGGGGACCUGCGGCUGCCCGCAGGCCCUGAAAACCAGUGGCGGGCUCGCUGUCACACCGAGCGUAGUAGCAUACAUCUCGCUCAGGGCGUGCUGCGGGAUCCGGCCGUUAAAAGCCUUUUUUACCCAAGGUUGACCUCGGAUCAGGUAGGAAGACCCGCUGAACUUAAGC
rnacentral:misc_RNA from 1 species